rnacentral:rRNA from 1 species
GACGAACGCUGGCGGCGUGCUUAACACAUGCAAGUCGAACGGAAAGGCCCUGCUUUUGUGGGGUGCUCGAGUGGCGAACGGGUGAGUAACACGUGAGUAACCUGCCCUUGACUUUGGGAUAACUUCAGGAAACUGGGGCUAAUACCGGAUAGGAGCUCCUGCUGCAUGGUGGGGGUUGGAAAGUUUCGGCGGUUGGGGAUGGACUCGCGGCUUAUCAGCUUGUUGGUGGGGUAGUGGCUUACCAAGGCUUUGACGGGUAGCCGGCCUGAGAGGGUGACCGGCCACAUUGGGACUGAGAUACGGCCCAGACUCCUACGGGAGGCAGAAGUGGGGAACAUUGCACAAUGGGCGGAAGCCUGAUGCAGCAACGCCGCGUGCGGGAUGACGGCCUUCGGGUUGUAAACCGCUUUCGCCUGUGACGAAGCGUGAGUGACGGUAAUGGGUAAAGAAGCACCGGCUAACUACGUG